rnacentral:rRNA from 1 species
UUCUUUCCUCCCGAGUGCUUGCACUCAAUUGGAAAGAGGAGUGGCGGACGGGUGAGUAACACGUGGGUAACCUACCCAUCAGAGGGGGAUAACACUUGGAAACAGGUGCUAAUACCGCAUAACAGUUUAUGCCGCAUGGCAUAAGAGUGAAAGGCGCUUUCGGGUGUCGUUGAUGGAUGGACCCGCGGUGCAUUAGCUAGUUGGUGAGGUAACGGCUCACCAAGGCCACGAUGCAUAGCCGACCUGAGAGGGUGAUCGGCCACACUGGGACUGAGACACGGCCCAGACUCCUACGGGAGGCAGCAGUAGGGAAUCUUCGGCAAUGGACGAAAGUCUGACCGAGCAACGCCGCGUGAGUGAAGAAGGUUUUCGGAUCGUAAAACUCUGUUGUUAGAGAAGAACAAGGACGUUAGUAACUGAACGUCCCCUGACGGUAUCUAACCAGAAAGCCACGGCUAACUACGUGCCAGCAGCCGCGGUAAUACGUAGGUGGCAAGCGUUGUCCGGAUUUAUUGGGCGUAAAGCGAGCGCAGGCGGUUUCUUAAGUCUGAUGUGAAAGCCCCCGGCUCAACCGGGGAGGGUCAUUGGAAACUGGGAGACUUGAGUGCAGAAGAGGAGAGUGGAAUUCCAUGUGUAGCGGUGAAAUGCGUAGAUAUAUGGAGGAACACCAGUGGCGAAGGCGGCUCUCUGGUCUGUAACUGACGCU